CCUACGGGGUGCAGCAGUGGGGAAUAUUGCUCAAUGGGGGAAACCCUGAAGCAGCAACGCCGCGUGGGGGAAGAAGGUUUUGGGUAUGUAAACCCCUUUUGUUAGGGAAGAUUAUGACGGUAUCUGACGAAGAAGCACCGUCUAACUACGUGCCAGCAGCCGCGGGAAUACGCAGGGGGCAAGCGUUACUCGGAGUUACUGGGCGUAAAGAGUGAGUAGGCGGGGUAAUAAGUCAGAUGUGAAAUCCUGGAGCUUAACGACAGAACUGCAGUUGAAACUGGUACGCUGGAGUGUGGGAGAGGUAGGCGGAAUGCGUGGUGUAGGGGUAAAAUCCGUAGAGAUCGAGAGGAACACGCAUUGCGAAGGCGGCCUGCUGGAACAUUACUGACGCUGAGGCACGAAAGCGUGGGGAGCAAACAGGAUUAGAUACCCUGGUAGUC
rnacentral:rRNA from 1 species